UCUUAGUGGCGGACGGGUGAGUAACGCGUGGGUAACCUGCCUUAUACAGGGGGAUAACACUUAGAAAUAGGUGCUAAUACCGCAUAAGCGCACGGGGCUGCAUGGCCCAGUGUGAAAAACUCCGGUGGUAUAAGAUGGACCCGCGUCUGAUUAGCUUGUUGGCGGGGUAACGGCCCACCAAGGCGACGAUCAGUAGCCGGCCUGAGAGGGUGGACGGCCACAUUGGGACUGAGACACGGCUCAAACUCCUACGGAAGGCAGCAG
rnacentral:rRNA from 1 species